GACGAACGCUGGCGGCGUGCUUAACACAUGCAAGUCGAACGGAAAGGCCCUGCUUGCAGGGUACUCGAGUGGCGAACGGGUGAGUAACACGUGGGUGAUCUGCCCUGCACUUCGGGAUAAGCCUGGGAAACUGGGUCUAAUACCGGAUAGGAGCCAUUUUUAGUGUGAUGGUUGGAAAGUUUUUUCGGUGUAGGAUGAGCUCGCGGCCUAUCAGCUUGUUGGUGGGGUAAUGGCCUACCAAGGCGGCGACGGGUAGCCGGCCUGAGAGGGUGGACGGCCACAUUGGGACUGAGAUACGGCCCAGACUCCUACGGGAGGCAGCAGCGGGGAAUAUUGCACAAUGGGCGCAAGCCUGAUGCAGCGACGCCGCGUGGGGGAUGACGGCCUUCGGGUUGGAAACCCCUUUCGCUAGGGACGAAGCUUUUUGUGACGGUACCUAGAUAAGAAGCACCGGCUAACUACGUG
rnacentral:rRNA from 1 species